rnacentral:rRNA from 1 species
AUUGAACGCUGGCGGCAUGCUUUACACAUGCAAGUCGAACGGCAGCGCGGGCUUCGGCCUGGCGGCGAGUGGCGAACGGGUGAGUAAUGCAUCGGAACGUGCCCAGUAGUGGGGGAUAGCCCAGCGAAAGCCGGAUUAAUACCGCAUACGACCUGAGGGUGAAAGCGGGGGACCGAAAGGCCUCGCGCUAUUGGAGCGGCCGAUGUCGGAUUAGCUAGUUGGUGGGGUAAAGGCUUACCAAGGCGACGAUCCGUAGCUAGUCUGAGAGGACGACCAGCCACACUGGGACUGAGACACGGCCCAGACUCCUACGGGAGGCAGCAGUGGGGAAUUUUGGACAAUGGGGGCAACCCUGAUCCAGCCAUGCCGCGUGCGGGAAGAAGGCCUUCGGGUUGUAAACCGCUUUUGUUCGGGAAGAAAUCCUCUGGGCUAAUACCCCGGGGGGAUGACGGUACCGGAAGAAUAAGCACCGGCUAACUACGUG